GUGAAGAAGAACAACGGAAAGAACAGAAAUAACGGAAAGGACCUCCAGAGAGUCAGAAACAUACGACAAAAAAUUAGGUGACAGGUGAAGAACAACAACGGAAAGAACGGAAAGAACGGAAAAAACGGAAAUAACGGAAAUAACGGAAAAUACGGAAAUAAUAACGGAAAUAACAGAAAUAACCUCCACAGAGACAGAAACAUACAGCAGAAAAUUAACUGACAGGUCAAGAACAACAACAGAAAUAACGGAAAUAAAGGAAAUAACGGAAAUAACCUCCGAAAGACAUAAACAUACAGCAGAAAAUUAGGUGACAGGUGAAGAAGAACAACGGAAAGAACAGAAAUAACGGAAAGGACCUCCAGAGAGUCAGAAACAUACGACAAAAAAUAUGGUGACAG
rnacentral:lncRNA from 1 species